rnacentral:rRNA from 1 species
AGUGAACGCUGGCGGUAGGCCUAACACAUGCAAGUCGAACGGCAGCACAGUAAGAGCUUGCUCUUACGGGUGGCGAGUGGCGGACGGGUGAGGAAUACAUCGGAAUCUACUUUUUCGUGGGGGAUAACGUAGGGAAACUUACGCUAAUACCGCAUACGACCUACGGGUGAAAGCAGGGGAUCUUCGGACCUUGCGCGAUUGAAUGAGCCGAUGUCGGAUUAGCUAGUUGGCGGGGUAAAGGCCCACCAAGGCGACGAUCCGUAGCUGGUCUGAGAGGAUGAUCAGCCCCCCUGGAACUGGGACACGGUCCAGACUCCUACGGGAGGCCGCAGUGGGGAAUAUUGGACAAUGGGCGCAAGCCUGAUCCAGCCAUACCGCGUGGGUGAAGAAGGCCUUCGGGUUGUAAAGCCCUUUUGUUGGGAAAGAAAAGCAGCAGGUUAAUACCCCGCUGUUCUGACGGUACCCAAAGAAUAAGCACCGGCUAACUUCGUG